rnacentral:rRNA from 1 species
UACGUAGGGGGCUAGCGUUGUCCGGAAUCAUUGGGCGUAAAGCGCGUGUAGGCGGUUCGGUAAGUCCGCUGUGAAAGUCGGGGGCUCAACCCUCGAAUGCCGGUGGAUACUGUCGGGCUAGAGUGCGGAAGAGGCGAGUGGAAUUCCCUGGUGUAGCGGUGAAAAUGCGCAGAUAUCAGGAGGAACACCAAUUGCGAAGGCAGCUCGCUGGGACGUAACUGACGCUGAGAACGCGAAAGCGUGGGGGAGCAAACAGG